rnacentral:lncRNA from 10 species
AGAACUGGAAGCCAUAUUUGGGGUCAGUGAUAAAUUUGUUGAUUUUCAGAUGAAUUUAUUGAAUUUGAAAUGUCAGGAUAAUGGGCAAAUAAAAAUACUGAACCAGCAGUUGAGGAUUUAGGAUGGGAGUAGCUGAAGCACCGAAGAGAGGAUGGGACUGGAAAUAGAGACGUAGAGUUUAACCACACACACACAUCUUGCAUGCCUGUGACUGUAUCCAUGUGCAUGUCCAUCACUAGGUGUACCUGUCCAUCUUCAUGUCCUGUGUGGGUGAGAAUGGGUGGGAAUGGCAGUCUUGGGAGUGUUCCUGGGAACCUCAUAUCAUAAGGAGACAUGUAUUCUACCCUGCCUUACAGUGGGUCCCACAUUGAGAACUGGCAUUCGAUCCUGCGCAAUGGGCUGGUCAAUGCAUCCUACACCAAACUGCAGCUGCAUGGAGCAGCCUAUGGCAAAGGCAUCUACCUGAGCCCCAUCUCCAGUAUUUCCUUUGGAUACUCAGGUAAGAAAUAUUCUGUGGCCACCUUGACUCUAUUUACAUUGCCUCCAUUUGUGAAUACAUGAUUUGUGCUGUCUGUUCCUCCCUCAUUAUGGAUACUUGGUCUGUGUCAGCUCUCUC